GCGCGCGUAGACCAAUUGGCAGGAGUCACGAGCUUCAAAACCUCGGCAGUGUCAGUUCAAAUCUGACCGCGCGUACCA
rnacentral:tRNA from 1 species